rnacentral:lncRNA from 1 species
CCGAAGAAAAGAUAUCCUUUUCCACUCUCUGUCUCCCUUGAAAGAACUUGAGGUUUUUGCUUUCACUCUCCAAACCUGUGCAGAUACCAGCCUUUUCAUCUUAUGGCUUCUCCACAUGGCCAGAAGAUUGUUAUGACCUCUAUGCAGUUCAGCCUUGGAUGGAACUCCUUACAGGCCACGCGUGAAUGGGAACCUCCAGCAAAGCAAACUCCACCUUUCCUACCUUCAAGUGAGCUGAGAAAGAUCCUCAUCCUGCCAACUCAUCCUUAAAUGCUGUAUAUAGUAAGAAGCAAUUAAAACUAAAGGCCUG